AGUGAACGCUGGCGGUAGGCCUAACACAUGCAAGUCGAACGGCAGCACAGUAAGAGCUUGCUCUUACGGGUGGCGAGUGGCGGACGGGUGAGGAAUACAUCGGAAUCUACUUUUUCGUGGGGGAUAACGUAGGGAAACUUACGCUAAUACCGCAUACGACCUACGGGUGAAAGCAGGGGAUCUUCGGACCUUGCGCGAUUGAAUGAGCCGAUGUCGGAUUAGCUAGUUGGCGGGGUAAAGGCCCACCAAGGCGACGAUCCGUAGCUGGUCUGAGAGGAUGAUCAGCCACACUGGAACUGAGACACGGCCCAGACUCCUACGGGAGGCAGCAGUGGGGAAUAUUGGACAAUGGGCGCAAGCCUGAUCCAGCCAUACCGCGUGGGUGAAGAAGGCCUUCGGGUUGUAAAGCCCUUUUGUUGGGGAAGAAAAGCAGCAGGUUAAUACCCCGCUGUUCUGACGGUACCCAAAGAAAAAGCACCGGCUAACUUCGUG
rnacentral:rRNA from 1 species